rnacentral:sRNA from 1 species
AACUUGGAGUUAUGAAAAUAUGGCCACCAUACCUGUGUAUGUUAGAGCUCAUGUGUCCAACAAGCACCCAUUUGUGGACAGUAAUCUUCUCUACCAGUUCAGAAUGAACUUCCGGCGGAGGCGAAGACUGAUGGAGCUGCUCAAUGAAAAGUCCCCCUCCUCCCAGGAAACUCAUGACAGUCCCUUCUGCCUGAGGAAGCAGAACCAUGACAAUCGGAAAUCUACCAGCUUUAUGUCAGUGAGCCCCAGCAAGGAGAUCAAGAUCGUGUCUGCAGUGAGGAGGAGCAGCAUGAGCAGCUGUGGCAGCAGCGGCUACUUCAGCAGCAGCCCCACCCUCAGCAGCAGCCCCCCUGUGCUCUGCAACCCCAAGUCUGUGCUGAAGAGACCUGUCACCUCUGAGGAACUCCUUACUCCCGGGGCUCCAUAUGCAAGGAAGACAUUCACGAUUGUUGGUGACGCUGUUGGCUGGGGUUUUGUGGUGCGAGGAAGUAAGCCAUGCCACAUCCAGGCUGUAGACCCCAGUGGCCCUGCAGCCGCAGCAGGAAUGAAGGUCUGUCAGUUUGUUG